GACGUAGGGCGCGAGCGUUGUCCGGAUUUAUUGGGCGUAAAGAGCUCGUAGGCGGCUUGUUGCGUCGACUGUGAAAACCCGCGGCUUAACCGCGGGCCUGCAGUUGAUACGGGCAGGCUAGAGUUCGGUAGGGGAGACUGGAAUUCCUGGUGUAGCGGUGAAAUGCGCAGAUAUCAGGAGGAACACCGGUGGCGAAGGCGGGUCUCUGGGCCACUACUGACGCUGAGAAGCGAAAGCUAGGGGAGCAAACGGG
rnacentral:rRNA from 1 species